rnacentral:lncRNA from 1 species
CCCUCUUCACAUUCAUGGAGUUGGAUGUUCAUCUAGUGCAAGAAAAAGGCGUGGUGAUGCCUGGAAUAGGAAGGCUGUAGGACAUCUUCGAAAGGCUGCUGCUCCAACUUCAGAAGAAGUUCUGAAGCACUUUCAAAUUAGAUAAAGAUCUAAUUUUUGGAGCAUAGAUUCGUGAGAAGAAGACGUUCUAGGUCCUGCCUGAGUAGAUACUGGUAGAGGCCAGGCACUUUUGUGGCUACAUCAAAAUCUCAGGCUGUGCUGAGAUCAUUUACAGGGUAAUCAGAUUACCCUUGAGGUAUGUCUAUACUUCUCAUACUUUUAGAUUUAAUUUUAGAUUUUAAAUAUCAA